CUUCCACCCACCCAGCCCGACACCCCUCGUCCCUCCCCCAACAGCCCUGAACGGAUAGACAGGAAGGAGGUUCGUCAUCUUCGUCGUCGCAUCCAGCAGCUGCUACAGCCAGUGCCACGUGCCUUGUAAGAUCAGCAACUACUUGAAGUCAAGGACUAUAUCAUUCUUACAAAUAAAACCUUCAGCAGUAUAUUGUGAUCAUUGACUGAUACAUGCAGAAGUUGCAGGAAUUACAGACUGCCUGCUUGCUGCUGAUCUGGGAUGUGGCUGCUUAAAGAGUGAAAUCUCAUGACCUGCAGUGGUUAUACACAGGUGCUGGUGCAAAUGGUCACUCUCCUGCCUGGCUGGAAGGUCCCUCGAUGGGGAUUUGUGGCAGCGGAUUCUCACAUUCUCUAGGUGCUGAGGAUCGUUCACUCUGAGGGAGCCAUCUGCCACAUCAUGAAGACCCUCUGGCUGUUCUAUGAAGAAACUCCCAUGACAAGGCUCUAAGGCCUCAUGCCAAAAGCCGUGAGAGGGAGCAUCUUGGAGCUGAUCCUCUAGAUCCAGCCUUCAGGGGACUGCAGACUGCAAGGCAACAGCUAACUGGGAGGCCCUGACUUGGAACCAUCCAACUACCCAACUGUGCUGCUCUGGGAUCCCUGAACCUCAGAGACUGCCCACUGGCUCUCACCAUUUAUGGAAUUGCCUUGGCUACUCAAGGGACCAGAUGUUGCCUGGGGUUGUGACCCACUGCUCCUGCAUUUAGCCUCCUGGCUGGCUGCUGCUUGCUUGGACUCAGCCCAGUACAGAUGGCAUCACUGCUAAAUCAGAGAGGAUGACACUCAGUUUCCUGGUCCUCCUUCAAGUUGCUGCUUUGUU